CCCGUCCUCACUUCACCGGCCAUCAGAUAGACACCAGAGAACCCUUGUAGAUCAUCACCGUGCCUGUGCUCACCCUCCAGCCUCGACUCCGUCACCGGCUUCGUCAAUCUUCUUCCUCAUCAUCGCCGCCGGCGCGAUCCACACCCAUCCCCAGCAUCCUUCACCUGCCGAGCAGCCCCAGCCCAGCAGCGCAGCACCCUUCACCGGCCGAGCAGCCCCAGCAUCCUUGCAGCCCACUGCCUAGCCCAGGCCACAACCCGCCUGCGCUCACAGACCGGCCUCACCUCCCUGCAGCCCCGCCGCGCCCGGACACCAGCGCCUAGCUGCAUUCCAGAUCGACACCCAGCCUCUAGCAGCCUGCUGCAGAUCCCAGACCUGGCUGCAUCACUUCGAUCCCGCAUCGAUCCCAGAUCGGCGUUAGCCCAUCAGCUCGCUGCCCCACCUUGCAGUCGCUGCCUCCAGCCCACCGGCCUCCAGGCGCACCCCACAUCCGGCCAAACCCCC
rnacentral:lncRNA from 1 species